AGAGUUAGCCGUCUCUUCCUCUUGAGGUACUAUCAACCUUGCACGCUUCUCACGCACAAGGCUUGCUCCCUCAUGACAGAGGUUUACAACCCGAAAGCCUUCUUCCCUCACGCGGCGUUGCUGGGUCAGGCUUGCGCCCAUUGCCCAAUAUUCCCCACUGCUGCCUCCCGUAGGAGUCUGGACCGUGUCUCAGUUCCAGUGUGGCCGAUCAGCCUCUCAGCUCGGCUACCCAUCGUUGGCUAGGUGGGCCGUUACCCCGCCUACUACCUAAUGGGACGCGAACCCCUCCUUUAGCGGAUUUCUCCUUUGACCUCUGUGUCAUGCGGCACUGUGGUCUUAUGCGGUAUUAGCACCUGUUUCCAAGUGUUAUCCCCCUNUAAAGGGCAGGUUGUUCACGCGUUACUCACCCGUUGCCACUAAGUACAAAACCGAAUUCUGUACUCCGUUCGACUUGCAUGUGUUAGGCACGCCGCAGCGUCGUCUGAGCAGANACAACUACUGA
rnacentral:rRNA from 1 species